UCCGGUUUGUCACCGGCAGUCUCCUAUGAGUCCCCAACUGAAUGCUGGCAACAUAGGACGGGGGUUGCGCUCGUUGCGGGACUUAACCCAACAUCUCUGCAGGCUUCUGGUGUAUGUCAAACCCAGGUAAGGUUCUUCGCGUUGCAUCGAAUUAAUCCGCAUGCUCCGCCGCUUGUGCGGGCCCCCGUCAAUUCCUUUGAGUUUUAGCCUUGCGGCCGUACUCCCCAGGCGGGGCGCUUAAUGCGUUAGCUACGGCACGGAAUCCGUGGAAAGGACCCCACACCUAGCGCCCAACGUUUACGGUGUGGACUGC
rnacentral:misc_RNA from 1 species